UAGUUCAGCACUAAGUCACUUUGUCUUUAUGGUAAAUGUGAGAUGCAGUGUAUGGAAUAUCUUAAAUCUAGUAUGAGAAAUUAAUGAUUUAAGUCCUUCUUAAAUGAGGCCAUUUACCCAUAGAGGGUGCCAGGCCCGUAUAACGUUAAUGAUUACUAGAAGAUGCUUCCAAAGAGUCGUGUUGCUUGAUAGUGCAGCACUAAGUGGGUGGUAAACUCCAUCUAAAACUAAAUAUAACCAUGAGACCGAUAGUAAACAAGUACCGUGAGGGAAAGUUGAAAAGAACUCUGAAUAGAGAGUUAAAUAGUACGUGAAACUGCUUAGAGGUUAAGCCCGAUGAACCUGAAUAUCCAUUAUGGAAAAUUCAUCAUUAUGCUAAUGAUAUUUAAACAAUAUUAUUGUAAUAGUGUGCAUUUUUUCUAUAUAAGGACAUUGUAAUCUAUUAACAUACAUAAUUAUUUAUCAAAAGAUUAUUGGCUUAUGUUUGUUCAAAUUAAUUUGCUUGCAUUUUAACAUAGAAUAAAUGCUUGAUGAUUUGAUAAAGUGUUGAUAGAUUUAUUAUAUAUAGUGCUUAAAUUCUUUUGAAUUUUAUAAUGGCAUUUGAAUCAUGAUUCAGGUGUUUAAUUUAUAUGCGCUUAUAUGAUUAACAAUGCG
rnacentral:rRNA from 1 species